rnacentral:rRNA from 1 species
CGCCUCUUGAAAUCAUUAGAGGUCCAGCCUGCCCUGUGACUCUUGUUUAACGGCCGCGGUAUAUUAACCGUGCGAAGGUAGCGUAAUCACUUGUCUUCUAAAUAGAGACUAGUAUGAAAGGCAUCACGAGGGUUUAACUGUCUCCUCUAUCUAAUCAGUGAACCUAAUCUCCCCGUGAAAAAGCGGGGAUUCUAACAUAAGACGAGAAGACCCUAUGGAGCUUAAAACAUCUACACGUGCCAUUUAAAUUUUCCCCCUCACACCUCAGGCACGAUGAUUUUAUGUUUUUGGUUGGGGUGACCACGGAGAAAACCUCAUCCUCCGUAGUGAAAGGAGCUACUCCUUAACAACAAACUACAACUUUAUGUAUUAACAUAUUAACACCUAUUGACCCAAUAAAUUGACUAAUGAACCAAGUUACCCUAGGGAUAACAGCGCAAUCCACUUUCAGAGCUCCUAUCGUCAAGUGGGCUUACGACCUCGAUGUUGGAUCAGGGUAUCCUAGUGGUGCAGCCGCUACUAAGGGUUCGUUUGUUCAACGAUUAAAACCCC